rnacentral:sRNA from 1 species
UUCGUCUGUAGUUUAAGAGGAUGAGAACCUCCGAAGGAGGUUUGAGCCGAGCGCAGCGAGACAACGUUGCUUUAGCAACGGCCCGCAGGGCGCUUAUCGCAGAGAAGCGUAAUCCUCUCUCGUCGACCC